AAUCAUUUUGAUCAUGUACAGUACAUGAUCAGUGACUGAGGCUCCAUCUCUCAUCCGAGCAUUGAAAAUGGCACAACUAGUUUUGUGCCUUUCAACAUCGUCAGGCAUGCCAAAGGAGUCGUUCAACAUUUGAAGCAUCUCCUGUGGCUUGGCGUUCUCGAACCUGUGGCUGAACUCAUCAUUCAUUGCCGCCAGCAUAAU
rnacentral:lncRNA from 1 species